CAAUAGCGUAUAUUAAAGUUGUUGCAGUUAAAAAGCUCGUAGUUGAAUUUUUGCUUGCCGCCGAUGUCGGAACUUCCGUACGUUCGGCGGCGUGCAUCCUUGGGUGGAACCUGUGUGGCAUUAGGUUGUCGUGCAGGGGAUGCUCAUCGUUUACUGUGAAAAAAUUAGAGUGUUCAAAGCAGGCUUACGCCGUUGAAUAUAUUAGCAUGGAAUAAUAAGAUAGGACCUUGGUACUAUUUUGUUGGUUUGCGCACCGAGGUAAUGAUUAACAGGGACAGUUGGGGGUAUUCGUAUUCCAUUGUCAGAGGUGAAAUUCUCGGAUUUCUGGAAGACGAACUACUGCGAAAGCAUUUACCAAGGAUGUUUUCAUUA
rnacentral:rRNA from 1 species